rnacentral:rRNA from 1 species
AUUGAACGCUGGCGGCAGGCCUAACACAUGCAAGUCGAGCGAGUGGCGGACGGGUGAGUAAUGUCUGGGGAACUGCCCGAUGGAGGGGGAUAACUACUGGAAACGGUAGCCAAUACCGCAUACCAUCGGAUGUACCCAGAUGGGAUAGGCUGGUAGGUGAGGUAACGGCUGACCUAGGCGACGAUCCCUAGCUGGUCUGAGAGGAUGACCAGCCACACUGGAACUGAGACACGGCCCAGACGCCUACGUGAGGCAGCAGUGGGGAAUAUUGCACAAUGGGCGCAAGCCUGAUGCAGCCAUGCCGCGUGUAUGAAGAAGGCCCUCGGGUUGUAAAGUACUUUCAGCCGGGAGGCGUUACCCGCAGAAGAAGCACCGGCUAACUCCGUGCCAGCAGCCGCGGUAAUAC